UACAGUUCCUCAUGUUGCUGUGACCCCCUU
rnacentral:piRNA from 1 species